UUUUAUUUAAUUUUCCAACGAACACCCUCUUUUAUCAUUCAAAACCGUGAAAGUAAAUUAAGAAGAAAUGGGUUUCUUUCAAUUAGGCUCAGCGUUGCUUUGAGUAACUGCCUAUAAUUCUAUUUAAUGAAAAAAUAAAAUCAUUAUUCCACGUCUCCCCCUGCCCUGUCACAAGCCCACAGACGGGCUCCAUUAGCGUGCACCGUAGAUUUAUUUAAUUAGAAAAAUAUUUUGUUUUCUCUGAUUCUUUGGGAAAAGAAAAAAAACCCCUCCAGGCACAAAAUUAAUCAAAUCUGUUACCUGGUGGUUAAUGGCUCCUGCGCGCGGGCAUCUCCGCCCACGCUGCUGCUCCCACCCUGGGUUUGCCCCCUGAAUUUGGACGCAGGCCCCCCAUGGGCCCCACCACACCCGCCUGGCCAAGUCUGGCCAAGACUGUCGCUGCGGGGUGGGGAGCUCCCCAUGGUUGUGACACUGGGAAGGAGCCAAAUUCCGUGGUCGCCAAGCACCAGUCCUCUGGGCGAGCGCCGUGCAGGAAGCCGAGCCGGGCGCACACGUGCUGCUCGUUAAACCAGGGCCCCUGUGACCCCCCAGUCCCGGCCCAGCCGCCCAGAGGCCUCAUCCGGUCCCCAGGGGCAUAAGCAGAGUCCAGGGUGGCCAGAGGAGCAGGGACGGAGACCAGUCCACCGGGGGAGUCUAAUGACCCCACAGGGCGACACCAGGGGACUGUACCUGAGUCCCCUCCACUGCCUAGCAGCCCCCAGGUCCCCAACGCGACUGCCAGGCCCACGGCCCUUUCAAGUUCUCCAGAACCGCAGGCUUCCUGCUGCCGAUGACGACCAAGGCUCCGACAGGUCCCACCCCUUGGCUGGGGUCCCUCCACACCAAGUCCAGCAGCCUGACCUCCAACCUUCACUCCUGCCUGCUGGUCCCAUGGUGGCUGGACCCCAAGCCCCUGUCCCCACACUGCUCGGCCCAACGGUUGCCCCAGAGGUCAUACAUGGGUCCCCGCUGUCAGAGAUACCUCAACCAAGGGAGGCCCUCCAGCUUGACCUGUGAGCUGAAGCGGACUCCAAGCAGUGUGCCUGCCAGGCAAUAGCAGCCCAACCCUGCUCUCCUGGAACCAACACCCCAAAGAGAAAAAC
rnacentral:lncRNA from 1 species